GAAGCCCUGAAUCAAGGCCUACAGCUUGCUGUGUAGCUGUUGGUUUCAAACAGUGGCUAAUAUCAAAGUCUUCCAUUGGUCUGUUGCCUUGCCCAGAAAUAUUUCAUGGGUUAAGCAGAUUUAGUAUAAGGGACACUU